rnacentral:rRNA from 1 species
GACGAACGCUGGCGGCGUGCUUAACACAUGCAAGUCGAACGGAAAGGCCCUGCUUUUGUGGGGUGCUCGAGUGGCGAACGGGUGAGUAACACGUGAGUAACCUGCCCUUGACUUUGGGAUAACUUCAGGAAACUGGGGCUAAUACCGGAUAGGAGCUCCUGCUGCAUGGUGGGGGUUGGAAAGUUUCGGCGGUUGGGGAUGGACUCGCGGCUUAUCAGCUUGUUGGUGGGGUAGUGGCUUACCAAGGCUUUGACGGGUAGCCGGCCUGAGAGGGUGACCGGCCACAUUGGGACUGUGAUACGGCCCAGACUCCUACGGGAGGCAGCAGUGGGGAAUAUUGCACAAUGGGCGGAAGCCUGAUGCAGCAACGCAGCGUGCGGGAUGACGGCCUUCGGGUUGUAAACCGCUUUCGCCUGUGACGAAGCGUGAGUGACGGUAAUGGGUAAAGAAGCACCGGCUAACUACGUG